GAUGAACGCUGGCGGCGUGCCUAAUAUAUGCAAGUCGAGCGAACGGACGAGAAGCUUGCUUCUCUGAUGUUAGCGGCGGACGGGUGAGUAACACGUGGAUAACCUACCUAUAAGACUGGGAUAACUUCGGGAAACCGGAGCUAAUACCGGAUAAUAUUUUGAACCGCAUGGUUCAAAAGUGAAAGACGGUCUUGCUGUCACUUAUAGAUGGAUCCGCGCUGCAUUAGCUAGUUGGUAAGGUAACGGCUUACCAAGGCAACGAUGCAUAGCCGACCUGAGAGGGUGAUCGGCCACACUGGAACUGAGACACGGUCCAGACUCCUACGGGAGGCAGCAGUAGGGAAGCUUCCGCAAUGGGCGAAAGCCUGACGGAGCAACGCCGCGUGAGUGAUGAAGGUCUUCGAAUCGUAAAACUCUGUUAUUAGGGAAGAACAUAUGUGUAAGUAAGUGUGCACAUCUUGACGGUACCUAAUCAGAAAGCCACGGCUAACUACGUG
rnacentral:rRNA from 1 species